UGUGCAGGAGUCCGCCGCGG
rnacentral:misc_RNA from 1 species